GCUGGGCGUAGUGGCGCAGGCCUGUAAUCCCAGCGGCUCAGAAGGCUGAGGCAGGAGGAUUGUGAGUUCAAAGGCAGCCUCAGCAAUUGUAAGGCCCUAAGCAACUCAGUAAGACCCUGUCUCUA
rnacentral:sRNA from 1 species